rnacentral:tRNA from 1 species
GGAGGGGUGUCCGAGUGGUCUAUGGUGACGGUCCUGAAAACCGUUGUCCCCGCAAGGGGACCGUGGGUUCGAAUCCCACCCCCUCCGCCA